CCGUUGCCAGCCGCUCAGAAACUACAAAGAAGUUGACGGGGCCCGCACAAGCGGAGGAGCAUGUGGUUUAAUUCGAUGAUACGCGAGGAACCUUACCUGGGCUCGAACGUAAGAUGACUGUAGGUGAAAGCUUACAUCUCUUCGGAGCAUUUUACGAGGUGCUGCAUGGUUGUCGUCAGCUCGUGCCGUGAGGUGUCGGGUUAAGUCCCAUAACGAGCGCAACCCCUACCUUUAGUUGCCAUCAGGUUAAGCUGGGGACUCUAAAGGAACUGCCUACGCAAGUAGUGAGGAAGCGGGGAUGACGUCAAAUCAGCACGGCCCUUACGUCCAGGGCUACACACGUGCUACAAUGGCCGAUACAGAGGGCAGCUACCUGGUGACAGGAUGCAAAUCUCCAAAGUCGGUCUCAGUUCGGAUCGGAGUCUGCAACCCGACUCCGUGAAGUUGGAUUCGCUAGUAAUCGCGCAUCAGCCAUGGCGCGGUGAAUACGUUCCCGGGCCUU
rnacentral:rRNA from 1 species